UGCCACCCCACUUGCCUGCAUCAAUAUGCAACAGUAUAUUUGCAGAGAGUUUCGCAGAAAAAUUCUAUUGGAGGAUGUUCUGUAGGGCAAUGCCUCUAAUCUUUGCCUAUUUUUGUUCUGUUUUUCACGGGAAGUCACCCACUGAGUGAAAAUCGGUAUACUUGUCGUUGUGGAAGGAGCUGCAGCAGAUGACCCAAUGCCAGUUGACAGUGUGGACGUUGGCCUUCCUUGUCGUUGUGGAUGGAGCUGCAGCAGAUGACCCAAUGCCAGCUGACAAUGUGGACGUUGCCCUUGUGAUAGAAGAGCAGAGUUCCCAUUGUCUUGAAAUCACCAUAAAUCCAGAGAAUGCCAGACUUUGAUAAAGUUUGAUGACAAAAUUUGCCCACGAGAAGGACCGUCGCUCCACCUUCCUGUUCAAGAGAGCACAGCACAACAAGGCCUACCCCUCUUCCCUGUCAUCGAUGUCCAACCGGCAAACAUGGUGAGGCGCCUCCUGAAGGUUCGACCACUGGGCAGGGGAUUCCAAUACCUGGUAGACUGGGAGGGUUAUGGCCCAGAGGAGAGGUGCUGUGUCCCCGCCAGGGACAUUCUGGACCCAGACCUCAUCGCUGAGUUCCAAUGUCGGCACCCUGGUCAACCAGCUUUCCCGGUUUUGACCAUUCUGCCUGCCCUGACCCUGAGCCUGCCUAUUGUUCUGUACCUUGCCAUUCCACCCUGGAUUACUGACCUCUGCCUGCCCUGACCUUGAGCCUGCCUGACUUUCUGUACCUUUCGGACUCUGCUUUGGACUACUGACCUCUGCAUGCCCUUGACCUGUCGUUUGCAUGCCCCCCUGUUUCAGUAAUCAACUUUUGUUACUUCGAAACUGUCUGCAUCUGGGCCUUCUCUUGAGCCUUGACACCAAGUCAGAACCGUAGGAUAAAUAAAGGGGGCAUAUGAGCAGACAAUGAAAGCUCUUACAAUAUUCAAUGAUGGCAUUUCUCUAAAACAGGCUAUAUGUGGACCACUAAGUCAGAACAGUAGGCUAAAUUGAUGGGGAAAGGGACCAAAUUAUUAGGGUGAGGCACAUGGGCUACUAACAGCUUACUACACAACAUACACUUAGUAUUACUUUCUUAGCUACAGUCUACAUAUCUCCCUGGCAUAUUACAUAAUUUAUGUAGCGGCAUUCAAGACAUUUUUGGACCUUGUUGUGCUGUGCUCACUUGAACAUGAAAGUGGUGCGAUGGUCCUUUGUGGGAAAAUGUUGUCAUUAAAGCCCAUAUUCCCUGGAUUUAUUGUGCUUUCAAGACAACUGGGAACUCUGAAAAAAAACAAGGUUGAAUAAUGACGUCAGUGAUAUUCAGGUCGAAGAUCUAGAAAGAGGCCUGAGUUCCCAACUUGGAAUUGUGAGUUGGAUGACCGUUCAAAACUUUUUUUUCCCAGUCUGAGCUCGUUUUUUUCAGAGAUCCCAGUUGUCUUGAACUCACUGAAGUCUGAGAUUUUCCAGUUCCAAAUUUCCAGUUGUUUUGAACGCGGCAGAAGUCAUGAUGGAUUGACAGCAUGGCCAAUGUAUUCAACAUUUUAGGCUAAUAAAUAACUCAUUCACUCGUGCUGUAUUCAACCUUUUCUGGGCCAUGGUGUUGCAUGUGAAUGUUUAUCCUUUUAAGCUUGAAAAGAGACCUUUAAACUCAAACUUGGACCACACACCCACUCCACUGAAUAGCAGGCUAGUGAAUGCUUUGCAACGCUUGCAGUUAGCUACUGAUUCCUUCCAAACCACUCAUUGUUGAAUAAGCGAUUUCCAACUUGUUGUGUAAUGUUUAUGUCCAAUGGCCAAUGAGUAAAGAUUUGUAUCUAUUUUUAUCUGAUCUUGAGCCCUCUUGGAUGGGCACUUCUAAUGUAACUCUAUGGCAG
rnacentral:lncRNA from 1 species